rnacentral:rRNA from 1 species
AUUUGGCGGACGGGUGAGUAACACGUGAGCAACCUGCCCCCGACUUCGGGAUAACUUCGGGAAAUCGGAGCUAAUACCGGAUACGAGACGCACGGGCAUCUGUAGCGUCUGGAAAGAUUUAUCGGUCAGGGAUGGGCUCGCGGCCUAUCAGCUAGUUGGUGAGGUAACGGCUCACCAAGGCGACGACGGGUAGCCGGCCUGAGAGGGCGACCGGCCACACUGGGACUGAGACACGGCCCAGACUCCUACGGGAGGCAGCAGUGGGGAAUAUUGCACAAUGGGCGCAAGCCUGAUGCAGCGACGCCGCGUGGGGGGUGAAGGCCUUCGGGUUGUAAACCCCUUUCAGCAGGGAAGAAGCGAAAGUGACGGUACCUGCAGAAGAAGCGCCGGCUAACUACGUGCCAGCAGCCGCGGUAAUAAU